rnacentral:rRNA from 1 species
GACGUAGGGCGCGAGCGUUGUCCGGAUUUAUUGGGCGUAAAGAGCUCGUAGGCGGCUUGUCGCGUCGAAUGUGAAAACCCGGGGCUCAACCCCGGGCCUGCAUUCGAUACGGGCAGACUAGAGUUCGGUAGGGGAGUCUGGAAUUCCUGGUGUAGCGGUGAAAUGCGCAGAUAUCAGGAGGAACACCGGUGGCGAAGGCGGGACUCUGGGCCGAUACUGACGCUGAGGAGCGAAAGCGUGGGGAGCGAACAGG